UAUUUUUCAGGGCUGACAGAUUCUCUGCACAUUCUCUCAUUUAUCUGCAUAUAAGACACACUCACACUCUCAUUUUGGACAGACUCAUUCUGCAUUUUCAAAAAUAUUUCCUCACUUUCACUCAAACAUCUUCCUAUACAUUCUCACUGAUUUUUUAGUUCCCUACUCUCCUCUCCUCACACAUAACCAUCUCACAUAAAAAAGGCUGGAAACAAGUUAUGAAAUUCAGAAUUUGAACUUCAAAUCUGAAAUACAAAAUCUAAACAAAAAAAUAGAAGAAAAACAAAAGAAAAGUAGUUUUAAAAAGAGAUCUCUACAAUUGUUGGAAGCUGCAACUGUUCAUCUUCAUAUUUCUGGUUUUCUAAAUAUUUUUGGAUCACAAGAGGCUGUUGAUUCUGUUGUUCCUGAGUUGCUGAGAUCCAAUUCCUAGUUUCAGACUUUUGCUUGGUUUUGUCUAGUGAUUUUCUGCAUUUAGGUAUGUUUUACAUUUUAUAAUCAUCUAGUUUGAAUCAAUGAAUGCAAAUCUGGUAUUUUAAAUGCUCUAUCAUGUGUUUAGUUUGCUUGUUUGAUACUGACUCCUUUUAGUUGUGUUGAUGUUGGCCUUACUAGUAUGGGUUGAACACUUUACUUGGUCUCGUUUUGUAUAUGAAAGAAUUUAAAAUCAGCUUAAAUGCAGUAGUUUGACUAAUUUAUGCUUAUAAUGGAAUGAAGUUCAGAUUGUUGAGUCGGUGGGUUUGAUCACCAGUUGGUCAAACUCAUUCAAUAAAAAGACUAAAUCCACAAUGUUGGCUCAAGCGAUUCUGCCACUGCACUGACAAGGAGGCAGCAUAACAACUAUAUUUAUUUUAGACUUAUUUAGGCCAAAAUUGUAGAGUCAAUUGCGAAUGCAUAAAUGAUUAUCUAUGUAGUAGACCCGUCUGGAUUUCAAGUAGCAGUUUCUUCUUGUUAAAUGUAUUAAUCUGUCGUAAAUGUAUGAAAAUAUUAAUCUGUACUACAUUUUUUCCUUGCUUCAUGGGGCCUGACUAUAAGUUGGCCCGCUUGGAUUGGUUUUCUACAUGACUGAAGUUUUCCGGCUCCAGUAGCAAGAGCCGCAUGACAUUUGUUUGGGCCAAUCUGAUUAAGCCCCUUCCAUUGUGACCAGGGCUCUAUUAAAGUCCAAUUCUCAAGCUUAAAAAAAUAUUGUAAUUGCUGGCUUGUAGUUCAAUUAGCUUUGUUUCAAGAUGUUAAUAUUUUUCUUUAAAAAGGACCAACUAAUGUCUUGGUUGGAAAUGAUUGUUUUUACAAACAUCUCAAUCAGUCUUAUAACUUUCUUGUGAACCAAGGUCAUACGGACUUAGGCCCCGUAAUGGCAUAACUACCUUACAGUUGUAUAAGAGCAAAAUGUUGAAUGUUCAGUUAUUUGUAAAAUUUAAAUUCUCCACCUUAUACUACUACGCUUAUCCAUAAACUCUUGGUCUUACAAUAAUCUCAAAUUAGCUUUAGGAAAUUAACAGCUUUCGAACAUCGUAGCUUGCUUUGGGCAUGAUUAAUAAUAAAUCAUCAUGACUAUGGGUUCGGUUCUCGUGGCAUAGUCAUGAUACGUAAAUCCCAAUUCAAGUGCGCGUUCACGCGACUUGAUCACAACUUUAAACAAUUAAAAUAAACAUGUAGUGAAUCACGGGUACGUUUCGCGUAGAGUGAUUUACGAUGUGUACAAAAAUGACAAGUGCACGACACCGUGACUUGUUCAAAUAAAUUUCAUAAUUGUUUAAAUUAAUUAAAAGCAGUAUAGAAGCGAUAACGCAUAAAAGGUUUUUUAAACAUGCAAUAAUUCAGAUAAUUAAGCCAAAUAUUAAUUGUUAACCAACCGUACUAAAACCUAAGAACUCGGGAGUACCGCACACCUUCUCCCGGGUUAACAGAAUUUUUUACCCGAUUUUCUGUAUUUGCGGACCGUAAAUAGAGUCAAUUUCCUCGAUUUGGGAUUUUAAAAAUAAACCGGUGACUUGGGAUACCAUAAUAAAUAUUCCAAGUGGUGACUCUAAUUAAAUAAAUAAUCUCAUUUCAAUAAUGUCACUUUAAUUGAAAAAACACCUUAUCCCCAGAAAAAAGGAGGUGUGACAACAGUGAUCAUGAGGAACAACAAGAAGAGAGAACUACUCUGACUGCUAAUCAGACAGAUGAAGCCAUACCUACUGAACCUGUUCCUUUGGGUCACUCCUUGGGUGAAUCUUCUCUGGGUAUACAGAUCAUGCCAUGGAAACAUCAAAGUUCACAUCCUCUUGAGAACAUCAUCUCUGAUCCAAAUACAGGAGUGCAAACCAGGUCAUCUCUGAGAAAUCUAUGUGCACUCACAGCAUUUCUCUCAUAGGUUGAACCUAAGACCAUCAAGGAAGUUAUAAAGGAUCCAGAUUGGAUUAUAGCCAUGCAAGAGGAGCUAAAUCAGUUUUAAAGAAGCAAGGUCUGGCACUUGGUACAAAUACCCAAGAACAGAAUUGUCAUAGGUACAAGAUGGGUGUUCAGAAACAAGGUGGAUAAACAAGAAAAUAUCACAAGGAACAAGGCCAAACUGGUGGUUCAGGGAUACAAUCAAGAGGAGGGCAUUGACUAUGAUGAGACUUUUGCACCUGUAGCUAGAAUGGAAGCUAUAAGAAUGUUGAUAGCUUUUGCUGCACACAUGGAGUUCACUUUGUAUCAGAUGGAUGUAAAGAGUGCCUUCUUGAAUGGUUAUAUAAAUAGAAAGUAUUUGUCAAACAACCUCAUGGGUUUGAAAGUGAAGAAUUUCCUAACUAUGUGUUCAAGUUAGAUAAAGCCAUGUAUGAACUGAAACAGGCUCCAAGAGCUUGGUAUGAAAGACUCAAAAUUCCUUUUAACCAACAAUUUUGUAAGAGGAAAGGUGGACAACACUCUAUUUCUAAAGAGCAAAGGAAAGAAUAUUCUGAUUGUGCAAGUGUAUGUGGAUGAUAUUAUCUUUGGGGCUACUAAUGAAGCAAUGUGCAAGGAAUUUGCUGAGAUGAUGGGAAAUGACUUGAAAUGAGCAUGAUGGGUGAACUGAACUUCUUCUUGGGCUACAAAUCAAGAAAACACCUACUGGAACCAUGAUACAUCAACAGAAAUACAUCAAAGAACCACUGAAGAAAUUCAACAUGGACUCCUCCAAGUCAAUUGACACUCCCAUUGCCAUUACAACAAAACUGGACUUUGAUGAAGAAGGGAAAAAUGUUGAACAUAAACUAUAUAGAGGAAUGAUUGGGACAUUAUUGUACUCAUAACAAGCAGGCCUGAUAUUAUAUUCAGUGUGAGACUGCAUGCAGAUUUCUAGCAAAUCCCAAGGAAUCUCACCUGAAGGCUGUCAAGAGGAUACUAAGAUAUCUCAAGGGGGGCCCUGACCUAUGCCUAUAGUAUCCUAUAGGGUAUAGCUUUGAUCUAUUUGGUUAUGAUAAUGCUGACAAUGCAAGCUUUCAUGUUGACAGGGAAAGCACUUCAUGGACAGCUCAUUUUCUAGGUUCGUAUCUGGUGUCUUAGGGAGAAAAGAAGCAAAACUCAGUGGCUUUAUCUACAGUUGAGGAUGAAUAUGUGGCAGCAGCAUCCUGCUGUGCUCAGUUGCUAUGGAUAAGACAGUAGCUAAGGAACUAUGGUAUUUUUAUUGAUUGUGUUCCCAUUUUCUGUGAUAAUACUAGUGCUAUAAACAUUGCUAAAAAUCCAUAUCAUCACAAAAGAAACAAGCACAUUAACAUUAGACACCACUUUCUCAGAGACAGUGUUGAAAAGAGGAAUAUCUCAAUUAAAUUUUGUAAAACUGAAGAUCUAAUUGCUGAUAUUUUUACUAAAGCUCUGAGUAGGGAUCACUUUGAAAGGAACAUACUAGAACUAGGUCUAAUUAAUACUUCCAACUAGAUGAACCCCAAUGAUUGGCUAGAAAAAGUAUAAUUAGAUGUAGAUAGUCAAGUACAAUGUGUUUGAUUCAGACUCGUGCUUGUAUUAAGCACACACACCUGCUUAGAAAAUCUGGCUGAUAACUAUGUUGCAUGAUAUUAAUGUGAAGUGCUAUUAUUUUAGUGCAGAAAAAAGUAAGGAGUUACUAAGGAGUUGGUUCUUCGACUCAGGUACGUGUCAUCUUGUCUUAAUUCACUAGGACUUAAUAUCCUAAAUUAUUUCUAUGCUCAAACUUCUAAUCCUGUUAGUAUCACUUCUGGUUGUCUUCUAGUCAAAAAGUAAGGGGGAAUCCUAGAUCAAUUAGAGUUUAAUUACUUCUGAAUUCCAAACAGUCAAAGUAAUUGUUAUAAGAGUACCGUUAGAACUCAAAUUCGGUCACCCUCUCUCUUCCAGUCAAAUAAGGAGUAACGUCUUUAAAAGUCCCUUAUGAUCAUCUUCUCAGACCUCACUGUUUCUCUCAAACCCUAAACAAGAAUCAAGAACAAAUAUCAAGAACCAAUUCUUUCUUCUCCCUUCAUCGAUUCUCUUCUCUGAUCACCAUGACUAAAUCUAGCCAAACCCCUUCUUAAGCCAAAUCAUCAUCCAAGAUUGAAGCAAAAUCUAAAAACAUGAUGCCCAAAUCAAAGAAAAGUGUCAAGCCAUCAAGUGAACCCGCACCAACACAUGUUCCUUCUCCAUCGAUAUCCUCCACUAUAUCUACACCAUCAUCCCAUGUUCCUGCUGCUCUCACCAUCCCACCUCCACUGCACCCUCACUUCCAAAACUAACCACCUAUGCAUAUGUGCUUACUACGAAAAAUACCUCUAAGUCAACAAAGUUCAAGGCUACUCUAAGAAAAUCUGUCAAGAAUAUCAAGGUAGUGCAUGAUGCUACUACUCAAGUGGACACAAUGGUCAAGGAAGCUAUGGUUUAGGGGGAAUCAGUGCCAGUCACUACAAGUCAAGUAUAACUCCCUCCUUCAAAAUUAGAUGUUCCGGUAUCCGCUAUAGAUGAUGCACCCUUAGACACUCUUCCACCCAUACGUGAGAAACUACAAGUGGAGGAAUUCAUUGUAGAAAAAAGUGCAGACAAUUUGGAGAAAGAGGUAGAUACCACUACUGUGGUGCUUGUGGUUGAAGGGGAAGGGAGUAAAGAAUCAGUGCAAAAGGAGGCAUCUGAUGGUCUUUCAUUCAGUUGGAUGGAGGAUGAUAAUGAUAAUGGGGGUGAAAAGGAAGAAGGAGUUGUGGGCGAUCAUGAGGAGCAUACUACUCAAGACAUAGCUAAUAAUAGGAAAAGAGUCAGAACGAGUGAGAUUCUGGAGAAGAGAAGGAGAGUGAGACGGGUGAUAGGCUAGGUGAACAAGUAAAUGAUUCUGCAGAAGAAGAAAAUAAUAGUAAAGAAGGGGGUAAUUCUAAGAGUGUAUAUGAGGAUCAAUAAAAGGCAAGUGAGAGUGAAGGAGUGGAUAAAGAAAAUGAGGAAGAGAAUGAGGAUAUGAGUGAGCAAUAUGAAGGCUUUAUGGCCAUUGGGAAUACUGUCAUAGCCCCUUCAGAAGAAGCAAGUGGAAAGAAAAGGACUAAAGAACUAGGGCCCUUGUUAACUUAUUUCACUGGAGAUGAAGAGGUCAGCAGUGAUGAAGAUGACUUGCCCUUGUCUGAAGCAGGGAAGAAACCCAGGAAGAAUCCUGUGAAAGCAACUAAGUUUGCAGUCCCAAUAAUGAAAGAAGUGGCUCCUCCUGCCAGGACUCCUCUUACAAGGAGUAAAAAAUGUUGUUGAUGAACAAAUUAUUAAGGAGUCCAGAGGUGCCAAGAAGCCAAGGAAGAAAGUUUCAAUUGUGGAACCUGUGGUUGAGUUGGAUGGAGAAGAUGAGUUUGAGUCUGUUUUGCCAGAAAAGUCCUCUACACAAAAGAGAAAGGUUUCCAAAGCUACAAAAAUUGCUACCCCAUCUGCAAGGGACAGUAGAGGAAAAAAGAGAAAGAAUGUGCCAGUUGUGGUUGAUAGACUCACAGAGUUCAGGAAUAGAAAAGUGCUUAAUGGGAAGAUUCUUGCAAACACUAAUGAAAAAGGGAUGGCUCAACUGGUUGAAAAACUUGAGCUGCAGGGAUGUAAGCACAUGUUUGUCAAAGCUUUCCCCAUGUAUGUGUUCCUGCUGUGGUGGAGUUCUAUGCAAACUUUCAAUUUGAUGGAAAGGUAGUCAAAAGUAAUGUGAGGGGGUUUGAAAUGGAGUUUGAUGCUGAGGAGCUAGGGAUGCUUCUGAAUAUUUCUUCUUUGGGAUUUGACAAUUACUUGAAGAAAAAGUGUCCAUCCAUAGACAAUGAUGUUGACACUAGAAUUGUGGUCACAAGAAAGUUCUCCCAAAAAUUUGAACUGGAUGCUCCCAGAAGGUGUACAAUACUGAUAUGACUCCCUUCCCCAAGUUGUUGUUUCAUUUUGUCAAUUCCUGCAUUCUUCAGGCAUCUAAUAGAAGGCAUGAAGCUACCCUGUUGGAUAUGGCUGUAAUGAAAAUACUUGACACUGGUAGACCUAUCAAUCUCCCUAGCCUGAUGAUUCAGCAUAUGGCAAGAGCUGCAGACACUUCCAAGCCUAAGCAUGAUAUACCUUAUGGCUUCAUAUUGACUGAGUUGUUUGACAAGCUCAACAUUGCCUUGCCUGAGUUUAAGUAAGAGGUUAGGAGUUGGCUGUUGAAAAGAAUGCCAAGCUUCGUGAAGAUAAUGAUGAGCUGAGAAAAGAAACCAGGCAGCUUAGGGAAGAGCUCAGAAAAGAUAGGGAAGCUCAUGCCCAACAGAUUGACACUCUUGUGAAAUUAUUGACCCCCUCUACGUCUCACUCAUGAACUUGUUCCUUCCCAGUGUCCUUAGUUUCCUUUUGCUAUCCCAGUGAUGAUUUAAUUUAUUUUCUUCUAUUUUAGUCUGAGUAGCUUGCAGUAUGUUUACUUUAUUUUGAUUUAUGGUUUAAGACAAGGCUCGGGCUUCUUUAGGCACUACUAAAUGACUUCUCUUGUACUGUUUUAAUGCUUCGUACAGUAUUGGAUCUUCAGCCUAGUAUGUUUUCCUAGAAAAUUCUUGAGCUUGUGUUGUAGCUUGUAUGGCCUUGAAUCUUACAUUAACUGUGUUUCAUCUGUCUAACAUCUUUUUAUUUUUUUUUCGAUGAUGCCAAAAGGGGGGAGAUAAGGUUGGGGGCAGUGAAUAUGUCUGUUUAUGGUGAAUAAGCAUGUCUUACUAUGAUUACCCGGUUCCGGUGUGGACAAAGUUUGUCAACAUUAAAAAGGGGGAAUUUGUUGAGUAUUGAGAUUUUGAUGAUUAACAAAGUUUGUUAAGAUUCAAUGUUCGAGAACCAGGUCCUUAAUGAAGUUGCUUCACUGUUUUAAGAACCAGGUCCUCAAGGCAAAGGAUCAGCUCCUCUGAUUGAUGAUUGUACAUCUGUGCAAAAUAGUAACUUAUCUCAAAGUUACUCAGGUCCGUGUUUGGUGGAAGAAGGCCGCUACAUGUGAUAAGGGUUGUUGCCCAAGAAGAUACGAAUAAUUCAGUAAGAGACAAGAGUCACAAAACUUGUGGAGUCCUUGGAACAGUAGGAGUCCUAUCAAACGAGAAGUUGACUAUGCAUAGGACUCCUAGAAGAUCUCAAAGUUCAUUCAUUAAAAUACUAUCUAUUUUGGACUUCUCAAUUCAUCCUUUUACACAUCAACUGAAGAAUUAUAUUUUGUUCACUCUAGUCGAGUACCAGUAGUUUAUUCUUCUUGAGUCAGUCUAGUGAAUGUGUUCUAGGAAAUCGAGCUGUAAUCAAGUGUCACAAGUAAUUACUGAGUUGGAGUGAGUGUUUCCUUUACAAGUUAGAGUAACUUGUAAAUCAAGUAGUCGUAGUAGCAGUACUUGAGAGUAUUGAAUUACAGUCUUAUAAUUGAUAUAUUUUGGCUCAUUGUUCUAGUGGAGUUGAAGUUGAAAUCCCUACAUAGUAGGUCGUGGU
rnacentral:lncRNA from 1 species